rnacentral:rRNA from 1 species
CUACGGGGGGCACCAGUGGGGAAUAUUGCACAAUGGGCGCAAGCCUGAUGCAGCGACGCCGCGUGAGCGAAGAAGGUUCUCGGAUCGUAAAGCUCUGUCCUUUGGGAAGAAAAAAUGACGGUACCAAAGGAGGAAGCCCCGGCUAACUACGUGCCAGCAGCCGCGGUAAUACGUAGGGGGCGAGCGUUGUCCGGAAUCACUGGGCGUAAAGGGUGAGUAGGCGGUAACGUGUGUCAGAUGUGAAAGGCGAGGGCUCAACCCUCGUAAGCAUUUGAAACUGCGUAACUUGAGUGCAGGAGAGGUAAGCGGAAUUCCUAGUGUAGCGGUGAAAUGCGUAGAUAUUAGGAGGAACACCAGUGGCGAAGGCGGCUUACUGGACUGUAACUGACGCUGAGACACGAAAGCGUGGGGAGCGAACAGGAUUAGAUACCCUUGUAGUC